rnacentral:rRNA from 1 species
UCCAGACUCCUACGGGAGGCAGCAGUGGGGAAUAUUGGGCAAUGGGCGCAAGCCUGACCCAGCAACGCCGCGUGAAGGAAGAAGGCUUUCGGGUUGUAAACUUCUUUUAAGAGGGAAGAGUAGAAGACGGUACCUCUUGAAUAAGCCACGGCUAACUACGUGCCAGCAGCCGCGGUAAUACGUAGGGGGCAAGCGUUAUCCGGAUUUACUGGGUGUAAAGGGAGCGUAGACGGCAGUGCAAGUCCGGAGUGAAAGCCCGGGGCUCAACCCUGGGACUGCUCUGGAAACUGUAAAGCUGGAGUGCGGGAGGGGCAGGCGGAAUUCCUGGUGUAGCGGUGAAAUGCGUAGAUAUUAGGAGGAAUACCAGUGGCGAAGGCGGCCUGCUGGACGACAACUGACGGUGAGGCGCGAAAGCGUGGGGAGCAAACAGGAUUAGAUACCCGUGUAGC